rnacentral:rRNA from 1 species
UACGUAGGGUGCGAGCGUUGUCCGGAAUUACUGGGCGUAAAGCGCUCGUAGGUGGCUUGUCGCGUUGUUCGUGAAAACUCACAGCUUAACUGUGGGCGUGCGGGCGAUACGGGCAGACUGGAGUACUGCAGGGGAGACUGGAAUUCCUGGUGUAGCGGUGGAAUGCGCAGAUAUCAGGAGGAACACCGGUGGCGAAGGCGGGUCUCUGGGCAGUAACUGACGCUGAGGAGCGAAAGCGUGGGGAGCGAACAGG